GGGCAAGGGUGACAGAGAGGGAGAUUAAACAGCCAGAGAGAAAGGGAGGAUCUUCUCUGUACCCUG
rnacentral:miRNA from 1 species